rnacentral:RNase_P_RNA from 1 species
GGAGUGGGCCGAGCGGUCGCCGCGGGGCCGGGGUCACCCGGAACCGGGGAGGAAAGUCCGGGCUCCACAGGGCACGGUGGUGGGUAACACCCACCGUCCGCAAGGACCGGGACAGUGCCACAGAAAACAUACCGCCUCAUCGCUUCGGCGGUGCGGUAAGGGUGAAAUGGUGCGGUAAGAGCGCACCGCGGUCCGUGUGACCGUACUAGCAAGGCGACCCCCACCGGGAGCAAGACCAAGCAGGGGGGAGACGGCGGCCUCGGUCGCCGGCACGGAUCGGCUCGAUCCGUCAUCACCUCCGGGUCGGUUGCUGGAGGCGGCGGGCAACCG